CCAAUGAGCAGCGGCUGAAUGCAGAACCGGUUCAGACCGGUUUCGUUCUUAUAUUUCACUGUAUAAACUACAAAAACAUUCGUUUGCAUUACACAUUCGCCAUUUUACGCUCAGACCUGUCGCCUGUCGUCGGUUUCCUCUCCGGGAAAAAAACCUGUUUCACGAUUAUAUUUUUGUGAGCUUUUGGUUUCUUUGCAGCCAGCAACAUGGUCAAGUCAAAGCAAACCGUGCCCCCUGAGAACCAAAGACGCUCCAAACGGGUGGCAGCGCAACUAUCUAAAGCUCCUCCUGUGGAGACCAAGAAGAAAGCUGCUCCGAAGAAGGCACCCAAAGCAAAGAAGGCCAAGCCAGCCGAGAAUGGAAGCACCAAGGCUGAGGAGCCCAAGGCUGAAGCCACUGAAGCCAAAUGAAGAACAGCUGAUGUGCUCACUCUGUGUACUUGGUGAUUGUACAGUUUUAAAUAAGUAUUUUUUACCAAGUUUUAUAUUACAAAUGUCAUUUAUAGGUUUGUGUUCGGCUUGCACUUGAUGUAACAAGUUUGUUUUCACAUUCAUAUCUCAUUUUAUAUCCAUUUUAAAACGAGUUCCGUCCAUAUCUUAUAUCUUGUAGACGUGGCAUUUAUAGAUUGUCUAAUCCAGUUUUUUUUUUUUUCGAACUGCUGAUUAAUAGUUAUUUUCCAACAAGUUGUGUUUUGAGUCUAAUUAUGAGGCAGCUAAAGCAAUUUAAACUUUGCAGGAGAAGAGAAAUUUUGGCUUUGUAUCUUCUUGUAUUUUGAUGUUGACCUAAUAAAAAGAGUUGCUUACCAAAUGUUUUGAAACACUAUGUCGAUAUGAGAUUUAGUGAGUUUUAAAAAAAAUGCCACCACAAACUUAUUAGGUCAAAAGUUUCAUGCAUCCCAAAAACCUGUAAUCUGUGAACCCAGUCCUCUCAAUGAAGGUUCUGUUAAGUUAUGUUUCUGAAAGCUUUUCUGACUUUAAUGGUUGAUCUAAGUGUUGAAUAAAAAUGUCAAAACGU